rnacentral:rRNA from 1 species
ACUGGGACUGAGACACGGCCCAGACUCCUACGGGAGGCAGCAGUAGGGAAUUUUCGGCAAUGGGGGAAACCCUGACCGAGCAAUGCCGCGUGAAUGAUGAAAUUCUUCGGAAUGUAAAAUUCUGUUGUGAGGGAAGAAAGGUAGUAUCAGGAAAUGGGUAUUACUUGACGGUACCUUACUAGAAAGCCCCGGCUAACUAUGUGCCAGCAGCCGCGGUAAUACAUAGGGGGCGAGCGUUAUCCGGAAUUAUUGGGCGUAAAGCGUGCGUAGGCGGCCGUUUAAGUCUGUCGUGAAAGCCCACAGCUUAACUGUGGAGGGUCGAUGGAAACUGGAUGGCUUGAAUCUAGAAGAGGUAAGUGGAAUUCCAUGUGUAGCGGUAAAAUGCUUAGAUAUAUGGAGGAACACCAGUGGCGAAGGCGGCUUACUGGUCUAGCAUUGACGCUGAGGCACGAAAGCGUAGGUAGCAAACAGGAUUAGAUACCCUGGUAGUCUACGCUGUAAACGAUGAGCACUAAGUGUCGGACGUAAGUUCGGUGCUGUAGUUAACGCAUUAAGUGCUCCGCCUGGGGAGUACGGUCGCAAGACUGAAACUCAAAGGAAUUGACGGGGACUCGCACAAGCGGUGGAGCAUGUGGUUUAAUUCGACGCAACGCGAAAAACCUUACCAGGCCUUGACAUCCCUAUGACCGCUCUAGAGAUAGAGUUUCCUCUUCGGAGGUAUAGGUGACAGGUGGUGCAUGGUUGUCGUCAGCUCGUGUCGUGAGAUGUUGGGUUAAGUCC